rnacentral:rRNA from 1 species
UACGGAGGGUGCAAGCGUUGUCCGGAAUCACUGGGCGUAAAGGGCGCGUAGGCGGCCUGGUAAGUAGGGGGUGAAAUCCUGCGGCUUAACCGCAGGGCUGCCUUCUAAACUGUCAGGCUUGAGCACGGUAGAGGCGGAUGGAAUUCCCGGUGUAGCGGUGGAAUGCGUAGAGAUCGGGAAGAACAUCAGUGGCGAAGGCGGUCUGCUGGGCCGUUGCUGACGCUGAGGCGCGACAGCGUGGGGAGCAAACAGG